rnacentral:sRNA from 1 species
GCUGGGCGCAGUGGCUCAUGCCUGUAAUCCCAGUGAUUUGGGAGGCUGAGGCAGGAGGAUUGCGAGUUCAAAACCAGCCUCAGCAAAAGGAAGGUGCUAAGCAAUUCAGUGAGACCCUGUCUCUA